UGCAAGUCGAACGGGACUUUUUUCUGUAGCAAUACAGAAAAAAGUCUAGUGGCGAACGGGUGCGUAACACGUGAGCAACCUGCCGUGAAGUGGGGGAUAGCUCGCCGAAAGGCGAAUUAAUACCGCAUGUGGCCAAGGAAGACAUCUUCCUGACGCCAAAGCCGGGGCAACCUGGCGCUUCUCGAGGGGCUCGCGGCCUAUCAGCUUGUUGGUGAGGUAACGGCUCACCAAGGCUAUGACGGGUAGCUGGUCUGAGAGGACGACCAGCCACACUGGAACUGAGACACGGUCCAGACACCUACGGGUGGCAGCAGUCGAGAAUUUUUCACAAUGGGGGAAACCCUGAUGGAGCGACGCCGCGUGGAGGAUGAAGGUUUUCGGAUUGUAAACUCCUGUCAUUAGAGAACAAGGCACGCGGUGGAACUGACCGUGUGUUGAUAGUAUCUGAAGAGGAAGAGACGGCUAACUCUGUGCCAGCAGCCGCGGUAAUACAGAGGUCUCAAGCGUUGUUCGGAUUCAUUGGGCGUAAAGGGUGCGUAGGUGGCGAUGUAAGUCGGAUGUGAAAUCUCCAAGCUUAACUUGGAAACUGCAUUCGAUACUGCGUUGCUAGAGGACUGUAGAGGGCAUUGGAAUUCACGGUGUAGCAGUGAAAUGCGUAGAUAUCGUGAGGAAGACCAGUGGCGAAGGCGAAUGCCUGGGC
rnacentral:rRNA from 1 species